rnacentral:tRNA from 1 species
ACCUGGCUAGCUCAAUCAGUAGAGCCUGUGACUCUUAAUCUUGGGGUUGUGAGUUUGAGCCUCACAUUGGGUG